rnacentral:RNase_P_RNA from 1 species
GAGGAAAGUCCGGGCUCUAUCUGGAGAAAUAUAGAUGUAUGAAAAACAGUGUAGGUAACUAUGAGGAAAGUGCCACAGAAAUAAACCGCCUACUUAUAUUACUUAUAUUCAGCAGGUAAGGGUGCAAUGGUGCGGUAAAAGCGUACCAGAAAUAUUAUUAAGAUAUUUGCUAGGUAAACCCCGUAUUAGAGCAAAGUAACUUAUCUAUAAAGUAUAAAAUAAGAAUACCUUCUCUCUUGAGGAUUCUAUAAUAUUAUAGUUUUAGUUGAUUGUAUACUGCAUGAAGUAAGAUCAUGAUCUACUUAAGAUGAAUAAUUACCCUCUUUAUAUGAUAUUUUUUCAUAUAAAUGAGAACAAAACCCGGCUUAU